rnacentral:rRNA from 1 species
AGAGUUUGAUCCUGGCUCAGAUUGAACGCUGGCGGCAUGCUUUACACAUGCAAGUCGAACGGCAGCGGGGGCUUCGGCCUGCCGGCGAGUGGCGAACGGGUGAGUAAUGCAUCGGAACGUGCCCAGUCAUGGGGGAUAACUACGCGAAAGCGUAGCUAAUACCGCAUACGCCCUGAGGGGGAAAGCGGGGGAUCGCAAGACCUCGCGUGAUUGGAGCGGCCGAUGUCGGAUUAGCUAGUUGGUGGGGUAAAGGCCUACCAAGGCGACGAUCCGUAGCGGGUCUGAGAGGAUGAUCGGCCACACUGGAACUGAGACACGGUCCAGACUCCUACGGGAGGCAGCAGUGGGGAAUAUUGCACAAUGGGCGGAAGCCUGAUCCAGCCAUGCCGCGUGAGUGAAGAAGGCCUUCGGGUUGUAAAGCUCUUUCAGACGGAAAGAAAUCGGGUGGGUGAAUAUCCUGCCUGGAUGACGGUACUGUCAGAAGAAGCACCGGCUAACUUCGUGCCAGCAGCCGCGGUAAUA